rnacentral:rRNA from 1 species
ACGAUGAAGAGUUUGAUCCUGGCUCAGGAUGAACGCUAGCGGCAGGCCUAACACAUGCAAGUCGAGGGGUAACGGGGUGCUUGCACCGCCGACGACCGGC